rnacentral:rRNA from 1 species
AGAGUUUGAUCCUGGCUCAGGAUAAACGCUGGCGGCGUGCCUAACACAUGCAAGUCGAACGUCCUUCCUUUUUUCGGAAGGGGAGGGAGUGGCGGACGGGUGAGUAACACAUGGGUGACCUGGCCUUUGGUGAGGGAUACCGGCGAGAAAUUGCCGACAAGCCCGCAUGGGGUCUUUCUCGUAGCGGGGAGAGAGCAAAG